UGGGGAAUAUUGGACAAUGGGGGAAACCCUGAUCCAGCGACGCCGCGUGUGUGAAGAAGGCCUGCGGGUUGUAAAGCACUUUCGGUGGGAACGAAAUGUGCCGGGCUAAUACCCCUGUAAGCUGACGUUACUCAAUGAAGAAGCACCGACUAACUCUGUGCCAGCAGCCGCGGUAAUACAGAGGGUGCGAGCGUUAAUCGGAAUUACUGGGCGUAAAGCGCACGUAGGUGGCGACGUAAGUCGGGUGUGAAAUCCCCGGGCUCAACCCUGGAAGUGCACUUGAUACUGCAAGUCUUGAGUGUGGUAGAGGCUAUUAUAAUUCCUGGUGUAGUGGUGAAAUACGUAGAUAUCAGGAGGAAUACCGGAGGCGAAGGCGGAUAGCUGGGCCAACACUGACGCUGAGACCCGAAAGCGUGGGGAUCAAACAGGAUUAGAUACCCAAGUAGUCCCUGAGCGGGCUGGCAAGGCGCAU
rnacentral:rRNA from 1 species